CUGAGGUUCAUGAAGAUUAAGGAAUUUACCCAAGGUUCACACAGCCAAAUGGAGAAACUGAGGUUAAGUAACUCACCCAAGGUCACACAGCUAGUAGAUCGCAGUGACAAGACUUGAGCGCAGAAAACCUGAUUCCAAAGUCCACGGGCUUAACCACUACUCCAUGCUGCCAUCUGCAGGAAGAGGAAAGGGAACCGACAAGCUAUUUCCAGGGCGUCACAAACACCUAAUGAAAUGUGGACAUUUCGCUACAAAAGACAGCUGGCUCACAAAGACCCAACCAACUAGUUAAAUAAAGGGAAAGCACUGUUUUUUGUGUUAUUUCUAUUUUAUGUUGUGAUGUAUUGCUUUAUUGAAUGAUUAAUGUUUAAAUGACCACAUGCAUUAAUGGCUAUUAAUAAAUAUAGCUGGUUUUAAAAAGC
rnacentral:lncRNA from 10 species